UACGGAAGGGGCGAGCGUUGUUCGGAAUCAUUGGGCGUAAAGGGCGCGUAGGUGGUUCUGUAUGUCUACCGUGAAAGCGUACGGCUCAACUGUAUUUUGUCGGUAGAAACUGCAGGACUUGAGGCUGGGAGGGGCUGGUGGAAUUCCCUGUGUAGCGGUGAAAUACGUAGAGAUGGGGGAGAACACUCGUGGCGAAGGCGGCCAGCUAGACCAGUUCUGACACUGAGGCGCGACAGCGUGGGGAGCAAACAGG
rnacentral:rRNA from 1 species